rnacentral:rRNA from 1 species
CCUACGGGUGACAGCAGUGGGGAAUAUUGCGCAAUGGGCGAAAGCCUGACGCAGCGACGCCGCGUGAGGGAUGAAGGUCUUCGGAUCGUAAACCUCUGUCAGCAGGGAAGAACGGUCACGGUGCUAAUCAGCAGUGAAUUGACGGUACCUGCAAAGGAAGCACCGGCUAACUCCGUGCCAGCAGCCGCGGUAAUACGGAGGGUGCGAGCGUUCAUCGGAAUUACUGGGCGUAAAGCGCUCGUAGGCGGUAUGUCAAGUCAAGGGUGAACUCCCCGCGCUCAACGUGGGAACUGCCUUUGAAACUGGCAAACUGGAGUGUGUUAGAGGAUAGUGGACUUCCAGGUGUAGGCGU